rnacentral:lncRNA from 1 species
UUUACAUGAACUGCCCCGCGACCUUUUAAGUUGUUCGCACACGAAUGGACCUGUGCUCUCUGCUUCCUCUGGCCCCCUGCUCUCCAGCUUUGUGGGAAAGGGCCGUGAGGGUUAGGAUAGUUGGCAUUUAAAGCCAGUGGAAGAUACGAGCGGGUUGUUAGGACAAGUGGGAAGCUAGAGGGCUGUUCGGACAGUUUCUGAUAGGCGUUGCCAGGCGGGAGCAGCGCUCGGUGGGCCCCGCUUUAUUUCAGACUUUGGCAGAGCCCGGAGAUGCGGAGUUGCAGGGUGGAGCACGGCUGUGUCAAGGAGGUCGCCUGGCUCCGGGCUGCUCCAGGGCUGCUGGGGACACGAACACAUUCGGCAGCCCCUUAGCAAAGUGCCUGCAGCUGCACCACUGCCCCAUGGAGGCAGGACCCUCCUGUGCUGCUGAUUCACCGUGUGCUGGCCUGGGCAGGGCAGGGGGCUCAUGCCAAUGUCCUGGGCCUGCCCUGGAAAAAUGCAUCCCCUCAGAAGUGGAAUCGUUUUUCACUGUGGAAAACACCAUUGUGCGUAGUCACCUCCUGUGCUUAGGCACAAACUGAAUUACCUGAUUAAUGUUAGUCUUCAUCUGUACUUUCAGCCUGGGCUAAUUUUAGAGCUUGGAAUAAGGUUGAUAAUGGAUUUGGCUGGUCAGAAAUAGCUAUUCUGCUUUGAAUACACUGAGCUGGAUUGAGAUGAAUUUCCCCACAGAGGCAAGCUGUUGAAGCUAAGUGGGUUUUGCCCAUGUAGUGUGUCACCUGCAAUUAUCCAUCAGGGCAGGGCCUCUCUCAGAGGUGGGCACUGGGCUCAGCUGGGCUCCUCAGCACCCAUGAGGGUCCCAUCCUAUCCAGAAAGAGACAGGGGCUCCAGCAGUCAUCCCAACCUGCCUGCCACUCCCAGCCUGUCCCUGUGGGAUGAGGUACCUCAGCCCCCAAUGGCAGAACUAUGAGCUCCCUGGAGGCACAGGCUGGUUUUGGUACUGUUUAUUUAUGGUACUUUGCAGGUGACACUUUGCUGUCUGUUUUGCUGGUUCCUGUUUGAAAAUAAAUUUUUGUGUCAAAAAAAUUAUGCA